rnacentral:tRNA from 1 species
GUCCCUGUAGCUCAGUGGAUAGAGCGCUGGCCUCCGGAGCCUGAGGCGGGAGUUCGAGUCUCCCCAGGGACGCUA